rnacentral:rRNA from 1 species
UCCAGCGAGCGACGAGUAGUCUUGCUUCCUCUGUAGGUGAGCGGCGGAGGGGUGAGUAACACGUGGGUAACCUACCUAUUAGACUGGGAUAACUCCGGGAAACCGGGGCUAAUACCGGAUAAUAUAUUGAACCGAAUGGUUCAAUGUUGAAAGACGGUUUCGGCUGUCACUUAUGAAUGGACCCGCGCCCUACUAUCUGUUUGGUAAGGUGACGGCUUACCGAGGCCCCAAUCCGUAGGCGACCUGAGAGGGUGAUCGGCCCCCCUGGAACUGAGACUCGGUCCAGACUCCCACGGGAGGCUGCCCUAGGGAAUCUUCCGCAAUGGGCUAAAGGCUGACGGACCAUCGCCGCGUGAGUGAUGAAGGUCUUAAGAUCGUAUGACUCUGUUGUUAGGGAAGAACAAAUUUGUUCCUCACUGAGGGAGUCUUGACGGUACCUAACCAUAAAACGACGGCUAAAUACGUGCCAGCUCCCCCGGUUAUACCUAAGUAGCACGCGUUAUCCGGAAUUAUUGGGGGUAAACCGCGCGUACGCUGUUUCUUAAGUCUGAUGUGAAACCCCCCCGGUCAACCGUGGAAGGUCAUUGGAAACUGGGGAACUUGAGUGCACACCCUGAAAGUUGAAAUUCA